rnacentral:lncRNA from 1 species
CAUUCCUGGCCCAAGUGGAGUAAUGAGUGGAGGAACUUGAUAUACUUGCUCGUCGUAAUAAUUGGUCUGAUUCUAUCUACGGAUAGAUGAAGUCGGAUAUUUAUCAUUUAUCUAAAAAAAGAACAAGAAUGAUUCCUGUGGAGCCGAACAAGGCCUAAGGUAUGUUCGGUUCGCCAACCUAUUUCUUUUACAUCAUGCAUUAAACACAUUUACUUUUAGCGCAUUAG